CUUCAGAUGGAAAAAUUUUAGAUUCUGCAGCUCUCAAGCAGAGUUCUGUGACAUUCUUCGAUGUUGAGAAGCCGGAAACUGCCUCUUUGUGGUGGGCAAGGGCUAGGACUAGGCUGCGAAGAUUGGAAAAGGUUUGUCUAAGGAUGAGAAAGCACAAAAGUUAGCUCUUCAACAUUGGCUUGAAGCUGUUGAAACUGAAUUUGAACAACAAUGGGAAGAUGGUAAGGCGGAAGAAUGGAAAAAUGCGAUUCACAAUGGUGAACAUGUUUGGGGUUAGCAGACUGUUAUUCAUGUUCACUAUUUUAGCACAGUAGAAGAUAAACAGCUAAAAGAGGUAAUGGUGAUAUUAGAAACUUAAAGUGAGUUAAUAACUACUUUUAAAAGCUUAAAAUCAGUAACAGGUCUGAAGGUGAUGAGAUAAUUGAUUCCCUUGAACCAGAGAUAGCUCAUUCUUCACCAAUAUGUUGGUCUAAAUUUGCUUAUGGGAUUCAAAAGUCUACAGUUUGUUACCAAAUGUUUUAAUUUUUACAGGUUACUCUUUUUGAUGCAAAUGUUCCAAACUGAUAGCAUCCACUUAUCACAACCUAAAAACUUGCAGCAGUUUUCUUUUCUAUUUGAUCUUCAGCUUAGAAAAAAAAUUUGUUUACAGGGAACUACAAUCAAUAAACUUUUAGCAGAAAAUGCAACUUCAGAAUUCUACAAAGGGAUGCUUUUAUUCAUAUCUAAACUCCUUAUCUGAUGUUUAUACUUCUUCACUGCUUUAAACUCACAGCAGUAUGGUUUUUUCUUUCAUGUUCACCUUACAAAAAUGAUUUGUUGAGAGUUUAAAAUUUCUUCCAUGUGCUCACUUUCAAUAAUUUGACGUGCAUUUAUGCUUUCUAUUUUGUAUUUUGUGAAUGAGUUAAUAGCAAUAACAUGUUAUAAUUGAAAUCAUGCUCUGUUUUAACGUGAUAUGUCGUCAUGUGUGCUUAAGCUGUUCUGACCAUAAUGACAUUAAGAGAUUGACUGUAGUAUCUUGAUGUCAGGGUCAAGUGAGAAAUUGCUUUUAGAUGAAGAGAACAGAAGUCAAUGCGACAUGAAUAACUGAGGGAACCCAUUCAAAGCAUCUGAAGCAUGGAUAGAGUGCCUAAUGAAAAAAUGAAAAGCUUUUCAUCAGCAAGGUGAUGUGGCAAUAACAGCUUAGACUGAGGAACAGCAGCAUGAGAUGAAUAUCCAUGCAGAUCGUGUAUCAUUAUGCAACAUCCAUCAAACACUUCUCAUUAUUGUAUUCUGUUUAUUCCUUCAUUAAACUAUGUAUACCAAGUUUGAUUUCUCCAUCAGAAUCAGUAAUAAGUUCAAACCAAACAAAA